UACGUAGGGUGCGAGCGUUGUCCGGAAUUAUUGGGCGUAAAGAGCUCGUAGGCGGCUUGUCGCGUCGUCCGUGAAAACCCACAGCUCAACUGUGGGCUUGCGGUCGAUACGGGCAGGCUAGAGUUCGGUAGGGGAGACUGGAAUUCCUGGUGUAGCGGUGAAAUGCGCAGAUAUCAGGAGGAACACCGGUGGCGAAGGCGGGUCUCUGGGCCGAUACUGACGCUGAGGAGCGAAAGCGUGGGGAGCGAACAGG
rnacentral:rRNA from 1 species